rnacentral:rRNA from 1 species
UACGUAGGGGGCUAGCGUUGUCCGGAAUCAUUGGGCGUAAAGAGCGUGUAGGCGGUCCGGUAAGUCCGCUGUGAAAGUCGGGGGCUCAACCCUCGAAUGCCGGUGGAUACUGUCGGGCUAGAGUGCGGAAGAGGCGAGUGGAAUUCCUGGUGUAGCGGUGAAAUGCGCAGGAUAUCAGGAGGAACACCGAUGGCGGAAGGCAGGUCUCUGGGCUGACACUGACGCUCAUGGCACGAAAGCGUGGGGAGCAAACAGG